rnacentral:rRNA from 1 species
AUUGAACGCUGGCGGCAGGCCUAACACAUGCAAGUCGAGCGGUAACACAGGGAGCUUGCUCCCGGGUGACGAGCGGCGGACGGGUGAGUAAUGUCUGAGAAACUGCCUGAUGGAGGGGGAUAACUACUGGAAACGGUAGCUAAUACCGCAUAACGUCGCAAGACCAAAGAGGGGGACCUUCGGGCCUCUUGCCAUCAGAUGUGCCCAGAUGGGAUUAGCUAGUAGGUGGGGUAACGGCUCACCUAGGCGACGAUCCCUAGCUGGUCUGAGAGGAUGACCAGCCACACUGGAACUGAGACACGGUCCAGACUCCUACGGGAGGCAGCAGUGGGGAAUAUUGCACAAUGGGCGCAAGCCUGAUGCAGCCAUGCCGCGUGUAUGAAGAAGGCCUUCGGGUUGUAAAGUACUUUCAGCGGGGAGGAAGGUGUUGAGGUUAAUAACCUCAGCAAUUGACGUUACCCGCAGAAGAAGCACCGGCUAACUCCGUGCCAGCCGCCGCGGUAAAAC